UACGGAGGAUGCGAGCGUUAUCCGGAUUUAUUGGGUUUAAAGGGUGCGCAGGCGGCGUGUCAAGUCAGCGGUAAAAUGUCGGGGCUCAACCCCGGCCGGCCGUUGAAACUGGCGUGCUCGAGUUGGAGAGAAGUAUGCGUAAUUCGUGGUGUAGCGGUGAAAUGCAUAGAUAUCACGAAGAACCCCGAUUGCGAAGGCAGCAUACCGGCUCCACACUGACGCUGAGGCACGAAAGCGUGGGUAUCGAACAGG
rnacentral:rRNA from 1 species